rnacentral:lncRNA from 1 species
AUUGCAGUAGUGGACAGCCAUCCUACAUAGUGAAUCAGUUUAGACAUAGAGUUCAUGAAUCUACCAGGUUGUCUCUAGAGGACUGCGUGUCAUUGGUUUCAUGCGAGUGACCACAGAAAGCCACAACAGCCAGUUUUGCAAUGGCUCUUUCAGACUGAAGAACACUGCACUUGAAAGAAAUGUUGAUGUAAAGAAGAGGCUUCAUGUCUGAGAAACUACUAAAAGGAAUCCAGCUCAGGAGCUGAAGGAAUUGUGACCAACAAAAGAGGCCAUCCCAGAGAGGAAGGAUCUUAAACAGGAACAAAGCCCUUCCUAUAGGAAGCAGUGUGCCCUGAUCAUAGUGUCCAGGAAGUUGGUAAAGUCUUAUCUCCGUGUUCCUAAUUUUUCAUUUUAUACCAAAUACAUUCUUCUUGCAAUGUAUCUUAACCAAAGAUAGAGCCCCCCAGUAAGAUCGACUCAUCUCUGACACAGUUGCUAUAGUGAAGUAGCACAGAGUUGUUCACACAACUCAUCUGAGCAGGCACCUCACACGAAUGGAUAUUUUGUAAGCAUUCAGGGAAGUUCUGAAGCUGAUCUUUUUUUUUUUUUAAGAGAAAAAAGAGAGAGAGAGAAUUUUAAUAUUUUAUUUUUUGGCGGACACAACAUUUUUGCUUGUAUGUGGUGCUGAGGAUCGAACCUGGGACGCACGCAUGCCGGGCGAGCGCGCUACCGCUUGAGCCACAUCCCCAGCCCCUGAAGCUGUUCUAAUGGGAGGGAUCUACUGUGAUUGAGACAUUCAGAAAGACUCAUCUCUUUUUUUCAACGUUCUUUAGCGUAGCUACCAGAAUUUAGCCCAGGUAAAACUGAGUGAAAAUUCCAUUUUUUUUUUUUUUUUUUUUUAGGAUGGACAUUAGCUGGACCUAACCGCAGUUUUAGAGGUUCUGGAAAAGGUUGCCGAUUUCUUAGUAGAAGCAGUCAGAUAUAGAAGAACUGUAUCCAAUGGAGAGAAAAAGAAUAAAUUAAGUAAAUUUAAUCCGUUCAAAGAAAGAAACAAGCAAUGUUUAUAACACAAAGAUAGAAGAGGUGAGGAACCCUCAGAGAGCCCAGAUUUACUUCCAUGAAUCCAGCCCAGUGUGGUGAGACUCUGUUGAUUCUAUAUGAGGAAAAGUUCUUUGUUCUCCAUGUUGCAGUAAUCAGACCCAGCACUUUGCUUGGUUAUGACAAUGUGGGUCAUGGUUAAAUUCAUUCCUUGUCUGCCAAAGGAGAAAACAGCUUGUCACAAUUCUGGGGCACUCCUUCAACUCCACCCAGUGGAAAGUCAAACAUCUGCACAAGCAAAGGCCCUUCCCACCACAGCAUGGUCUCUCUUGUGUUCCCUGAAUCCCUCACAACUGUGCCUGCUACUGUGCAUUUCUGGGGGGUCUGUGAAGCAGAGAUGCUGAGACCAACCCCAGGGCCCCCUCUGAUGCACAGCAUGGGUAACUGCCACAGCCCUGUUGCAGUGCACUCGUGGUUCUUGAAAAGUUCCAGGUGGAGUACCAUUCUCUUCCUUUGCUCAUGCCUAAAGCAGUUUCCCUCCACUGUUAUGUCCUUCUCAUUAAGACUCAGGUUAAAUCUGUUGCAUUUCCUUCAUGGAUUUAUUAGCACUUAGUAAUGUAUUCUUUUAAGUGCCUCCAUUCAUUGAUCUCUGCUUCCUCAAAAUUCCUAGUGCUUGUAUGGUACAUAGUAUCAGAAUGCUAUUUAUCUUUUUUUGUGUGUCUUCCAUCUCUCCACAGUGAUAUUGGACACUUUUUGUGGACAUAUACUCUGUGCCUUAUGUAUAUUUUAUAUUCCUAGGGCCUACCAAAAGUAGGUUCUCAGAACUUGAUGGUAUAGGUAGUAGCUAGAUCCGUCUACUAAAUUUAGAGUUUGGUAUUUUCUAACUCUAAUAUUAAUCAGUUCAAGUUAAGGGACUCUGAAAGUAACUAAAUACAGAGUCAACAGAUCCAAAGUGAUUAUACUAUAUAGUCUUUGGUUCCUUCUGUGAAGGAUUUGGUACAAAGAAAAACUGACCCUGAUUAUUUUCUCUGAGAGUCCUGGGAGGUCAAUGAAAAAGAAACAGUUCAGGAAAGAGUGAGUUUGUUUGUUUAUUGUUUUUAAUUAAUUUAUUUACCAGUUUUCCACAGAGAAUUCCACGUGUUUCUACUCCCCGAGCAGUGUUGGCACUGGCUGACUGGAGAAACUGUGGACUCAGCUUCCUGGGCACCUGCACAUGGCACAAUCAAUGGAUUGUAGAAAUUGGACUGGAAAGGGGAAAGUCUGAGACCAUGAGGCUGAAUCAUUCCAAGCAGACCUCACAGCCGCUAGCACUGGGAGAGCAAACUAAGUCACUAAAAUCCCUGCAACUUCAGACAUUGAGUUGGGCAUUGGGCAUCUCACUCUAAUGGCAUCAAAAACGUGUUGUAAAGUCUCUUCUGCAGCCUAUAGCCAGAGCUCAUUAGGAGAUGUGAUUGUUAAUUUUAGGUAUCAGCUUUACUGCAUUAAGGAAUAGGAACAUGGUAAAGAAUUACUUCUGGGUGAGACUUUCAGGGGUGUUCUGAAGGAAAUUGAUAUGUGGUUGUACAGAAUGAGUGGGGAAUAUCUACCCUCAAUAUGGGUGGGCACAAUGCAGUCAGCUUUGGGUCCACAUAGAAACACAAGAAAGGCAGAGGUAAGUCACUCGUCUUUUUCUGCCCCUGGGAAAUAAAAACUGUUCAUUUUAGAGGAUGGAUUCCAAGACUGGCACCAAGUGACUCCUGGAUUCUCAGGACUUUGGACUUGGACUGAGAAUUAUGCCAUUAGCUUCCUUGGUUCUGAGGGUUUUGGAUGUCGACUGAGCCACAUGAGCAGCAUUGCAGGGUCUCCAUCUUGGAAAAAGGCUUCUGUGAGAUUUCUCAUCUUCUGUAAUUAUAUGAGCCAUGUUGUCUCUGCCUAGAUUUUAGAGUAUGUUGCAGAAAGCCUGAGAGCAUGGAUGGAGGCAUGACACAGGAUCAGAGCCACCAAAGAGACUUCCCUUUGGGUCAAUGACUUGGCAUUGUAGGAGUAGGGCAGCCCCUCAAGACCCUAAAACCAAAGAGCCAUCAGCCAACAAUUCCGGUCUGGACAAGAUGAGGGCAAACUGCUAACUUCUGAGAGCUGCUGGGUGAAGUGAGCCCAGCAAAAAUAUAGCAAUGACCUGUCUGAGGCCUUGGGGGAUCCAACCCUUUUCUUAGUGUGCACCUAUGUAGGACAUGGAAUCAAAAGAGAUUGUUCUCCAACUUUAGGACUUAAUGUUUUCUCUUUUUUGUCUGGCCUUGAACUUGGGAAUCCUCCCACCUCAGCUUCCCCAGUAGUGGGAUUACAGGCAUGGGCUACCAUGCCUGCUCCAAUCACUCCAUUCUUCAUUUGUUCCUCCCUUUUGGAAUGGGGGACUGACCGUCUGAUACCUGUUCCACCAUUGUAUUUUGGAAGCAUGUAACUUAUUCAUUUCACAGGCUCACAACUGGUGAAGGAUGAAUUGUGUCUUGAGUCUCACCCACAUCUGAUUUAUCGGAACCUUUGGACUUUUGAGUUCAUACUCUUGAUGCUUCAAGAAAAGGGUAGGCUUUAAUUGGUCAAGGUAAGACAAGUGUAAACUACUACUUUCCAGAGCAUUUCUAAGAAAUUUAGGGAUUCUCUGUCAGAAUCUAAGAAGAAGGAUGAAAAACUAACCUUCCCAUUCAACUGAACAUUUUAUUUUUUUUUUCUCUUUGAACUCAUAAGAAUAUCAGGGUAUGAAUUUCUAAGAGUCCUACAAUAAGGUAGUCUUGAUAAUGGAAAAUGACUUCAGUAGUUAUUUACUUCUAGAUUGAGUCUUUAGAAGAAAGUUUAGAUGCCAAACCCUGCCCCUCUCAAAAAACAAAAACCAGUCUGGUCCCUCUAAAAAGGCAUGAAGAAAUGGGUCAUAAACUGCUUCAGGAUACCAAGAAUGGACUCAGUUUGUGAGCCCAGUGGAGAAACCCCAUGAGAAAGCCAGCAAGCUAAGGUUAGGGAGCAAGUUUCACAGCUAUAUUUUCAUAUUAAGAAAAAAAAGUUAGAAAGUAUAUUAAAUUUCUGCACAUUCAACAGCAACGUCUGAACUGUUGGACAAUGACAAUGUUUGAUCAGGAGGUGCACAGUCAUUCGGCAGUCUGAUGAUGCCAUCUAGCCAUGAUGAAUUAAAGUUUGGCUGAAUCUUUUCCUUUCAAUUCAGUAAAUCCACUUAGUCAAUGUAUACAAGUAGACACUGUGCUCAGCCUACACAGGGAACACAAAUGUGAAUGAGACUCAAGACUCAGGUCCUACCUUGUGGGAAGUGAAAAUAGUUAUUGCAGAUAACUCCAUGAAUGGGUAAAUGAUCUAAGUUGUGUUGCAGAUGAAAAGAGCUCUGAGAGUUUUAGAGAGAACAGAAUCAAUCUACUUGAAGAGAGGAACUGGAAAUCCUUCUAGAAAAGUAGGGAAGACAGAAAGAAUAGUUAGAAGACAAAUGAUAACAAGCCUCUUUGGGCAAGAUAAUGUCUUGAGAAUAUGAGAGUUCAAUUUCCCUGAAAUUAGAAUGUGUACAAGGGAACAACUAAUGGGAGCAAAGCUUGUCCAGGAAAUGGGGUGGAGGUCAAAAGGUCAGGCCUCAGAGCCCAGCCCUCCUUGUCUUCUUCCAUUGUACUUUUAAAUGGAUUUUCAGCAAAUUGACUUCUUUAAAUGACUACUUGAAAGUCAGUACCUGUCUUCCACAGAUUCCUCUAAUAAUCAAGAUAUACUCACCAUUUUUCCCCAUUUUCUUGAUUGCAGUCAUCAAUGACAGGAGGAAAGAUGGCCAAUAGUUUUUGUGGUUGAACUUAAUUAUCACCCACUAUACACAAUGUUUUUCUUGACUAAAUUGUUUAAGAAUCAAGAAUGCUUUCAGGGCAAGCACAAUUCAGUAGUCCCCCCCUUUUUUUUUCUUAUUUUUUUAAAAGUCAUUCAUCGAAUUGCCCCAUUGUACUGUAAUUUUGAAGAUUUUUUUUUUUUUUUUACAAAAAGCCAAUCUGGUCUCUAAUUCCCUGACCAUUUUGAAUCUCUGAAUAACCUUAAAAGCUGAGUAUUUGACAUUUAAAGACAGCACCAGCUUUUCAGAAAAUUGAUAUUGCUUCAGCUCAAUUGCAUGUUUUCAACAAAGGCCUCUUUUACAAGAUAGCCAGUGUCAUUCUGGGGGAUUCAUCCCAGGACUGCCUCUGUGAUCCCACUUACCAGGCUUUGACAAUAGAACCCCCUUGGAUAAGGACUGCCAUACUCUGUUCUGUUACACUGGCUAUCUUGUAAAAGAGGCCUUUGUUGAAACCAUACAAUUCAGCUGAAGCCAGGUGAAUUUUCUUAAAAGC